GAUUAACGCUAGCGGCAGGCAUAAUACAUGUAAGUUGAACGGCAGCACAGGUAGCAAUCCUGGGUGGCGAGUGGCGCACGGGUGCGUAACACGUAUGCAACCUACCCUAUACAGGCGAAUAACCUUUAGAAAUGAGGGCUAAUACGCCGUAGUAUUACAGAUGGGCAUCUAUUUUGUAAUUAAAGAUUUAUCGGUAUAGGAUGGGCAUGCGUCCCAUUAGUUAGUUGGUAAGGUAACGGCUUACCAAGACGAUGAUGGGUAGGGGAUCUGAGAGGACUUACCCCCACACUGGUACUGAGACACGGACCAGACUCCUACGGGAGGCAGCAGUAAGGAAUAUUGGGCAAUGGCCGCGAGGCUGACCCAGCCAUGCCGCGUGCAGGAAGACGGCCUUAUGGGUUGUAAACUGCUUUUAUACGGGAAUAAUAGAGUGUACGCGUACAUUUAUGCAAGUAUCGUAUGAAUAAGCAUCGGCUAACUCCGUG
rnacentral:rRNA from 1 species